AUCGCCUUCUGGUGAUCCUGCCGGCUGCCACGGUUAUAGGAAUUCGAUUAAGACAUGUUGAGAUCUAUUACCUUAUGGACUCGGCGGACUGCUCAGCAAAAAGUACGACAACGUGCCCUUAAGUGGGGGAAAAUCUCGGGAAAUUGAGGAUACACAUCCGUAGAGGUGAUAGCAUCUGGAAUGAGCUAUGGUUCAAAGUUCCGGCGCUUAAGGAUCGGUCUGCGGCCUAUCAGGUAGUAGUGGGUGUAAUGUACCUACUAGCCUAUGACGGGUAUGGGCCUUGAGAGAGGGAGCCCAGAGUUGGAUUCUGAGACACGAAUCCAGGCCCUACGGGGCGCAGCAGUCGCGAAAAACUUCACAAUGGGGGGCAAACCCCGAUGAGUUAAUUCCUAGUGCUAGCUCUUUUUGAGUUAGCUUUUUCUUUAGCGUAGAUAACUAGAAGGAAUAAGGGCUGGGUAAGACGGGGUGCCAGCCGCCGCGGUAAUACCUGCAGCCCAAGUGGUGGUCGAUUUUAUUGAGUCU
rnacentral:rRNA from 1 species